CCUACGGGAGGCAGCAGUGAGGAAUAUUGGUCAAUGGGCUUACGCCUGAACCAGCCAAGUCGCGUGAGGGAAGACUGCCCUAUGGGUUGUAAACCUCUUUUGUCAGGGAGCAACGCCGGCUACGUGUAGCCGGACUGAGAGUACCUGAAGAAAAAGCACCGGCUAACUCCGUGCCAGCAGCCGCGGUAAUACGGAGGAUGCGAGCGUUUUCCGGAUUGAUUGGGUUUAAAGGGUGCGCAGGCGGAGGUGCAAGUCAGCGGUCAAACUGCGGGGCUCAACCCCGUACUGCCGUUGAAACUGGAUCCCUUGAGUGCGCGAGAAGUAUGCGGAAUGCGUGGUGUAGCGGUGAAAUGCAUAGAUAUAUGGAGGAACACCAGUGGCGAAGGCGACGAUCUGGGAAGAAACAGACGCUGAGUCCCGAAAGCGUGGGGAGCAAAUAGGAUUAGAUACCCCGGUAGUC
rnacentral:rRNA from 1 species